ensembl:lncRNA
AUGGCCUUCUCGCUUACUGGGUGCAUCAAAACGAAUGAAGCCAAGGGAUGUGAAAAACAAGGUUUUUACUGCCCAGAGGGAGGUAGGGGUCCAGUUCCAUGUCCUAGAGGAACAUUUGGACCAAGUUUUUGGGCCCAGUCUGUAAAUGACUGCAUCAGCUGCCCACCACAUCACUAUGGACCUAGAGAAGGCUUGAGCAAUUGCCUGCCCUGUGGGCCCUGGUCACAGCAGCCUCUGCUUGGACAGGACAGCUGUACAUGUCUGCGAGAGGGUCAAGUCUUCCAGGCCAGUGAUGGACAGUGUCCAUGUACUUUGGGAUACACACAGAAAGGAGAAGCCUGUGUGUUGAAGGUCUAUGAGAUCUGCAAGGAUGGAAGAGCACGAAACCAGCAUGGAGAAUGUCUGGACCACAAGCAAUGGAAGCAGCAUUGCUCCCAGCAGGUGUGUCUAUCUCCUGAGCUGUAUGAGGGCUAUGAUGGUUCCCUGGGCCUGUGUGCUUGCAGAGGGCUGUCCAGGCCUGAGCCAGACAGGGUUGAGUGUGUUGGCUGGUGCCGGAGCAACCUGAGUCCAAUUCUGCAGCUGGUUUGCACUGGAAGCCUUUACCUGCUCUACACUGAGUCUAAUCAACAGGUGAGCAUGUCUAGAAGCAUGCUGGAGACCGUCCUCAAACACUGGGACUCCCGUGGGAGCUUAGAAUGCAAUGUGCAGCUCAACUUCUCCAGGCCUGUGUACACAGUUAAAACAGAGGAGGCGGGCUUCUUUGGUCUGCUUAAUGCCGUCCCUGUGGAGGUCAGGAGGUUGAUUCUGGCCCACAGCCAGCAAACUAACAACUACUUUGAGCCCCUAGACAAAGACAGAGGAAACAUCAAAGACAAAGAGGAAGACUGGGACUCUCAUUGGUCCGGUAUAUCAUCAGCGUUUGGUACAUCCGACAUGAGGCCUAGAGGAGUCUUGAACCCAACAGCAUGUCUACAUCCGGGAGACAUUCUUCUUUUUACAGUGACCCAACAGCACUAUCCUCAGUAUGAUGUAGACAGCUUGUAUAACACUAAUGAUGCAUUUGACUGGGGACCCUUCAGAUUACUGGCACAGGACCAAGAACUGGCACGAUCUACCCACUCCCUUUUUUCCAUAAGUCUCCAUGAGCCUGGGGUGUACGCCUUCAAACUCAGCAGCCACAAUUAUAGGCACAUGUAUGUGAGGGUAGUGCCUGCAGGUGGAGAGUGCUAUGACACUGGACCCUUCUUCCCUUCUGACCCACAUCAUUUGACUCGCAUGGGCAUCGCACAGAGACGCCACCUGCUGCUCCGCCCCAACUGGCUGAUGAUCGGUGGGCUUUUAGUAGGAGCUGUGGUAAUCCUGUGCUUGUGUGUCAUUAUAUUGGUAAGUGAUAAGGAAGGCUUUAACAAAAACCUUGGGGUUAACAAAACUUGGCUUAUUGAAGUGACCGAACACUGUGUCCUCACAGAUCUUGUUCAGGAAUUACGGCUGGCCUGA